GAUGAACGCUAGCGGCAGGCCUAACACAUGCAAGUCGAGGGGCAGCAUUUCUAGCUUGCUAGAAGAUGGCGACCGGCGCACGGGUGCGUAACGCGUAUACAACUUGCCUUAUACUGGAGAAUAGCCCAGAGAAAUUUGGAUUAAUGCUCCAUGGUAUCAUUUUAUGGCAUCAUAAGAUGAUUAAAGCUACGGCGGUAUAAGAUGGGUAUGCGUUAGAUUAGUUAGUUGGUGAGGUAACGGCUCACCAAGGCGACGAUCUAUAGGGGGCCUGAGAGGGUGAUCCCCCACACUGGUACUGAGACACGGACCAGACUCCUACGGGAGCAGCAGUGAGGAAUAUUGGUCAAUGGACGCAAGUCUGAACCAGCCAUGCCGCGUGCA
rnacentral:rRNA from 1 species